rnacentral:rRNA from 1 species
UACGGAGGGGGCUAGCGUUGUUCGGAAUUACUGGGCGUAAAGCGUGCGCAGGCGGUUUUGUAAGAUCUGUCGGUGAAAUCCCCGGGCUCAACCUGGGAACUGCAUUGUGACUGCAUCGCUGGAGUGCGGCAGAGGGGAUGGAAUUCCGCGUGUAGCAGUGAAAUGCGUAGAUAUGCGGAGGAACACCGAUGGCGAAGGCAAUCCCCUGGGCCUGCACUGACGCUCAUGCACGAAAGCGUGGGGAGCAAACGGG